CACGUAGGGCGCGAGCGUUGUCCGGAAUUAUUGGGCGUAAAGAGCUCGUAGGCGGCCUGUUGCGUCCGCUGUGAAAGCCCGGGGCUUAACCCCGGGUCGGCAGUGGAAACUGUCGAGCUAGAGUCCGGAAGAGGCGAGUGGAAUUCCUGGUGUAGCGGUGAAAUGCGCAGAUAUCAGGAGGAACACCAAUGGCGAAGGCAGCUCGCUGGGACGGUACUGACGCUGAGACGCGAAAGCGUGGGGAGCAAACAGG
rnacentral:rRNA from 1 species